UGGGUUAAACGGAGUUUGAUCGGGCUCGGCCCGAUCCUCCCACCCUUUGUGUACCUACCUCUGUUGCUUUGGCGGGCCGCGGUCCUCCGCGGCCGCCCCCCUCCCCGGGGGGGUGGCCAGCGCCCGCCAGAGGACCAUCAAACUCCAGUCAGUAAACGAUGCAGUCUGAAAAACAUUUAAUAAACUAAAACUUUCAACAACGGAUCUCUUGGUUCUGGCAUCGAUGAAGAACGCAGCGAAAUGCGAUAAGUAAUGUGAAUUGCAGAAUUCAGUGAAUCAUCGAAUCUUUGAACGCACAUUGCGCCCUUUGGUAUUCCGAAGGGCAUGCCUGUUCGAGCGUCAUUACAACCCUCAAGCUCUGCUUGGUAUUGGGCACCGUCCUUUGCGGGCGCGCCUCAAAGACCUCGGCGGUGGCGUCUUGCCUCAAGCGUAGUAGAACAUACAUCUCGCUUCGGAGCGCAGGGCGUCGCCCGCCGGACGAACCUUCUGAACUUUUCUCAAGGUUGACCUCGGAUCAGGUAGGGAUACCCGCUGAACUUAAGCAUAUCAAUAAGCGGAGGAAUUC
rnacentral:rRNA from 1 species